AUUGAACGCUGGCGGCAUGCCUUACACAUGCAAGUCGAACGGCAGCGGACCUUCGGGUGCCGGCGAGUGGCGAACGGGUGAGUAAUAUAUCGGAACGUACCUUUCAGUGGGGGAUAACGUAGCGAAAGUUGCGCUAAUACCGCAUAUUCUGUGAGCAGGAAAGCAGGGGAUCGCAAGACCUUGCGCUGAUUGAGCGGCCGAUAUCAGAUUAGCUAGUUGGUGAGGUAAAGGCUCACCAAGGCGACGAUCUAUAGCGGGUCUGAGAGGAUGAUCCGCCACACUGGAACUGAGACACGGUCCAGACUCCUACGGGAGGCAGCAGUGGGGAAUUUUGGACAAUGGGCGCAAGCCUGAUCCAGCCAUGCCGCGUGAGUGAAGAAGGCCUCGG
rnacentral:rRNA from 1 species